GAUGAACGCUGGCGGCGUGCCUAAUACAUGCAAGUCGAGCGAACGGACGAGAAGCUUGCUUCUCUGAUGUUAGCGGCGGACGGGUGAGUAACACGUGGAUAACCUACCUAUAAGACUGGGAUAACUUCGGGAAACCGUAGCUAAUACCGGAUAAUAUUUUGAACCGCAUGGUUCAAAAGUGAAAGACGGUCUUGCUGUCACUUAUAGAUGGAUCCGCGCUGCAUUAGCUAGUUGGUAAGGUAACGGCUUACCAAGGCAACGAUGCAUAGCCGACCUGAGAGGGGGAUCGGCCACACUGGAACUGAGACACGGUCCAGACGCCUACGGGAGGCAGCAGUAGGGAAUCGGCCGCAAUGGGCGAAAGCCUGACGGAGCAACGCCGCGUGAGUGAUGAAGGUCUUCGGAGCGUAAAAAUCUGUUAUUAGGGAAGAACAUAUGUGUAAGUAACUGUGCACAUCUUGACGGUACCUAAUCAGAAAGCCACGGCUAACUACGUG
rnacentral:rRNA from 1 species